UUUGAAAUAGGCAAAGGCACAUUUUCCUCUGUACACAAAGACUUUCAACAAAAACUUCACACUUAAACUUGGAACCCAAGUUCUUCUUCAAGAACUACCCACACCACUGUGCUACCCCUUCCCCUGUUCAAGAACUGCGACUUCCCCUUUGCUCAAUGGAUGAAACCCAAAUUUUCAACGAACCGAACUCGAUCCCGGUUUCGGACAAAUCAAACCCACAAGUGGGGCUGAUAACAGAGUGUUUGCGGCCGGAAAAGGAAACCCCAAUUAAUCGCACCCGUGGCGACAAUAACGACGCUGAAGUUGUGUGUAUGCAGACCAACCCGGUCGAUGACCCUGCACAAAACGGUUCUAGACAGGACAUCGAAGCUAACAUUCAUGGCGCGUCUUAAUUACCCAAGGUAACACAAGAAGUUGCGGCUGUUAAGAUUGGAAUGGAAGAAAUACUUCCUAUUCACGAUGAAGGUGUUCCACUGGUUUAUGGAGGCUUAAGCUGAAUUCAAAUGGAGCUUGAUUAUAUUAAAGGGAUUCAAAUUAUAUUUAUGUGUUAUAUAUUAAGGUUGUAUUCAUUUAGUAUAUGAAUUGUUGUAAGUUUAAUUGUGAGGUGAAAAGUUUAUUAUUUAUUCAAGAGUUACUCAUUUGGGUUAUAUAAGGUUAUUUUGUGGGCCCAUAACCCACAUGUCCAGGAUCGAGCUUAAUUAAGAUUAAGGUUAUUAUUUUUCCGCUGCAUGUUAAAGGUUAAUUGUGAUCAUUUAAGGUGAGCGGGCUGUUACACCAUAGCAUGGGUUUAGGACUUCAGAAUUCUUAAUUACUUCCUUCAUUUCUUGUUUGAAAUUAUUAGAAUUAGAAUUAAGAGCAGAUAGUUCGAGCUUAAGAAUUUAGGAUCUUGUGAUGAAAGGUUGGAUGUUAUGAAGGAGGAUCUAAAUAUAAAGGUCGUAUAUGGUUAUGGUGUUUCUGGAAGUAUGAACCUGUCAUUUUAAUGGUGUUAGGAUUUCUGUUUUUGAAUUAUGGAAUUGAAACUUGUUUGAAGAGAAAUAUAAAGUAAUAGUAAGUUUUAAAGAUGUUUUUAACUAAAUAUUCAUCAUAAUUCUGAUAAAAAGUUUACAUUUUUUUUAUAAAAAAAAAAAAAUGAUGACCAGGAAGCAUUACUAUCGAAUUCUUUUCUCCAACAGAAAUUUAUGUUCCAUUAGUUCUCUCCUAACUACGAGUGUAUGUUAUUUCAUUGCCAAUCUAUCUAACCCUCUUACACUUCAAUUCCAUUAAGUAGUUUGGCGAUCCUCUCGUUUUUGCUCAGAUUCAAAACCCUCAUCGGGCACCUAACUACCUCCAGGAAUUAAGUUCUUGUAUUCGUUAUUAUUCUAGAGGUUUUCAGCAGCAAGUUAUUUUUUUUUUUUUUUUAUUAUAUUGAAUUUUUCUACGUAGAGAUUGAGCUACCUCAUUUUUCAUGCUGUAUUAUAAUUUUCAAGAUUCGAUUUCAAAAUGAUUAUUCAAAUGUCCCGAGGUCUUACAUUUUGAAGUUUCGAGGACGAAACUUAUUUAAGUGGGGAAUAGUGUAAUAGCCCAUAUUUUAAGCAGCUCUUAGUUUGCUGUUAAGUAUAAGUUUAUUCUUAAACUCACUCUCAAAAAAAAAAAAUUAUUUUGUAACAACUUCGAGUCUAUGAUUUAAGAUUUUGUUAAUGAUUGGAUUUAAGUUCAUUAUUACCUAUUAAACUUACUUAAAGAUGAAUUCUCACAUUAUUACAUUGAGUUGAAAUCUUGAAACCCAUUCGAUUUUAGAAUAAGGAUUUUACGUUAUUAUUCUAAAAUCAUUAUUUUCUCUAUCUGCACGAUACAUUUCAAAUUAUUCGGGUCCAUAUUAUACUAAAUAAACUUGCGGUAAUGAAUUAUUUUAGAAAUUAAGUAUCUUAAAUGAAUAAUUUCUAAUACUACUUAUAAAUUUUUAUUUUAAAGGUUAAGUGUAAAUUAAGGUUUAAAUGAAAUAAAUUAAAUAAAUAAACUGAUUUGCAUUAUUGAUUAUAUAGUUCUUUCUCUUUCUAGAUGAAGGGAGUGAUGAGUCACCACCCUCACUUAGCCCUCUCUAAAACACUCCAGAAAUAUCUAACCCCUUCUAUUUUGUCUCUUCCAUUUUUCUGGAACUCUCCCCUACUUCAUCUCUUACCUCUCCUCACCCGACUCCCUCCACCUUCGGCGUCUCUCUCUCUCACCAUUCUCUAACCUGCCGCACCACCAGCGUCGUAGCACCGUACCUCUCUUCCCCGACGUUCCUGGUACGGUGGUUGAUGAUUGUUGUUGUAGUGUCUCUAGGUCUCCGGUAUUACCUCCUCUCGUCCUUGCUUGCGCCGCCUUCAAUGGUGGUUAUGUUCACCACCAUCAAUACUCCAUCAUGAGUUGCUAUACUAUGGUGAUGAUGUUGAUCUUUUUCGUGGUUGUCAUUAACGCCCUGCCUCCGGUGCUCUUCUCCUCGGCAUCCUCUUCCUCCUUCGAGCCCUGCCAUCUUUGGCCUCGAGCACCGCCCUACCUUGGCUCGCCGGCGCCGUUGUUGGGUGAGUUGUUGUUGUCGUUGAUUCUUGUUGUUGCUGCUUGCCUUUGUUGCCCUUCCUGUUUCCCCAAUUCCUUGAGGGGUGAUGGAGAUCGAUUAAGGAGUUUUAGAUCAUGAAGUUGAGAGGAGAAUGGCAAUCAAAAGUUGCGGCUUGGGAUUAUGCUUGUGUGGUAAGAGGUUGGAUAAUGUGUACUCAGAUUUCCGCUGACUUUGUUCUAUGAACCUGUCCUGGUGGGGGCAGUGUUAAAAUGUUUUGCAGGAUGGGUUAAUCAUGUCCAGGUAAAGAACGAGGGAACUGCAAGGUUUACUUGUGUCAUGACGGAAUUGUUCAACGAUUAUGUCUCAAGUUGCUCAAACUAUAUUUCAAGCUUUAGCUAGGUUUAAUAUUUUUGGUUAGGUGUAAAUCAUUAUUAUGUUUCUUUUUCCAAGAGGAGACCCUUGGGUCAUUGUUCAUUGAUUUGUAAUCAUUGUUUAAGUUA